rnacentral:tRNA from 1 species
GUAGCUCAGUGGUAGAGUACUUGCCUUGCAUGCAUGAGGCCCUGGGUUCAAUUCCUCAGC